rnacentral:rRNA from 1 species
CGGGAGGCAGCAGUGAGGAAUAUUGGUCAAUGGCCGGAAGGCUGAACCAGCCAAGUCGCGUGAGGGAAUAAGGCCCUACGGGUCGUAAACCUCUUUUGUCAGGGAGCAAGGCCGCCCACGUGUGGACGGAAGGAGAGUACCUGGAGAAAAAGCAUCGGCUAACUCCGUGCCAGCAGCCGCGGUAAUACGGAGGAUGCGAGCGUUAUCCGGAUUUAUUGGGUUUAAAGGGUGCGUAGGCGGCCUGCCAAGUCAGCGGUAAAAUUGCGGGGCUCAACCCCGUACAGCCGUUGAAACUGCCGGGCUCGAGUGGGCGAGAAGUAUGCGGAAUGCGUGGUGUAGCGGUGAAAUGCAUAGAUAUCACGCAGAACCCCGAUUGCGAAGGCAGCAUACCGGCGCCCUACUGACGCUGAGGCACGAAAGUGCGGGGAUCAAACAGGAUUAGAUACCCUGGUAGUCCGCACAGUAAACGAUGAAUGCUAGCUGUCCGGGGGGAUUGACCCCUGG